AGACGGAGGGUGCAAGCGUUAAUCGGAAUUACUGGGCGUAAAGCGCUCGUAGGCGGCCUGUUAAGUCGGAUGUGAAAGCCCCGGGCUCAACCUGGGAACUGCAUUCGAAACUGGCAGGCUAGAGUAUAGUAGAGGCAAGUGGAAUUCCGGGUGUAGCGGUGAAAUGCGUAGAUAUCCGGAGGAACAUCAGUGGCGAAGGCGACUUGCUGGACUAAUACUGACGCUGAGGAGCGAAAGCGUGGGGAGCAAACGGGAUUAGAAACCCCAGUAGUCC
rnacentral:rRNA from 1 species